rnacentral:rRNA from 1 species
UGUUCUACUCGAGUGAAUUAACCACGGAAGAAUUUUGAUUUUUUCCAUCAAACAUGUUACGGCAUGAAUAAAUAGUAUACAUGAAUAAUAUUUCAUGAUCUUUUUUUGACUAAAGAAUAGGUAAAUUAAUCCAGUACUUGGUUAACUUGAAUUUUACUUGAAAUAAAAUGUAACAAAACCUCUACCUGAAUCAAUCUAUAUACUGUUGAAAUUUCAGUUGUGGUGACUCUGAAUAACUAUGGCGGAUCGCACAGUCCUAGCACUGGCGACGCAUCCUUCAAGUGUCUGCCUUAUCAACUUUCGAAGGUAGGUUAUGCGCCUACCAUGGUUGUUACGGGUAACGGGGAAUCAGGGUUCGAUUCCGGAGAGGGAGCCUGAGAAACGGCUACCACAUCCAAGGAAGGCAGCAGGCGCGCAAAUUACCCACUCCCGGCACGGGGAGGUAGUGACGAAAAAUAACAAUACGGGACUCUAACGAGGCUCUGUAAUUGGAAUGAGUACACUCUAAACCUUUUAACGAGGAUCUAUUUGGAGGGCAAGUCUAGUGCCAGCAGCCGCGGUAACUCUAUCUCCAAUAGCGUAUAUUAAAGUUGUUGCGGUUAAAAAAGCUCGUAGUUGGAUCUCAGUCACGCUCCCUUCGAUACGUUGCAAAGCGUUCAUCAUUGGGGCCGACAGCACGUUAGUGGGCCCGGUUGGCUUUUACCGGUUGAUCGGGUUCUCCGGCAAUUUUACUUUGAAAAAAUUAGGGUGCUCAAAGCAGGCUGAUGCCUGGAUAUUGGUGCAUCGAAUAAUGGAAUAGGACCUCGGUUGUUUUUCGGAUCCCGAGGUAAUGAUUGAGAGGGACAGACGGGGGCAUUCGUAUUGCGGCGCUAGAGGUAAAAUUCUUGGACCGCUGCAAGACAAACUACUGCGAAAGCAUUUGCCGAGAAUGCUUUCAUUUUCAUUACUGUUGAAAUUUCAGCCAGAUUGGUUAAAUAUUGAGAAAACCUAUAAGGAACAAACUCCAAAUCUGUUUCAAAAUAACUUUAUCAGGUACAGCUCAAAAAGAGAAACUUAGCUUAUGAUAUUUACAACAAUGAAUAAUAUUUUUAUGAAAAAUAGAAAUAUGAAUGCCAGCCAGGAAACCUCUAUCUACAGGAUAAGGAAUAAUAUGUGACGGCUAUUCACAUAUUAAGACAAAGUGUCGAAUGCGGGAUUCGAUCCCGGUUCAUGGCUGUCGGGAACCGAGGGUUUUAACCACUCCUCCACCGCCUUAUAAAUCUCUAUUUAUAUAAAUGUCAACCUAUGUAUGUUUAUUUAUUUAUUCACUAGCGAAUGUAUCCGGUCUCGCUACGUUUUUACCCGAGUGAAAGUUUGCCUAACGAACAUUUGAUAAAACAAUAUUUGCGGGCUAGCAUCCAUUCCCUAAUGAAUUCAUUCUAUUCAAGAUAAAUAAAUUUUGAUGUUUAUUACUUUUCUCCAUAAAUGUAUUUAAUAAUGGCAUUGAGAAAUCUUGCAAAUAUAGGUGUCUAAAUAUAAAGAUUAACAGGUAAGUUAUUCAAAAAGAUUAAAAUUAGACAAUA